AAUGAACGCUAGCGGCAGGCCUAACACAUGCAAGUCGAGGGGUAACUAGAGUGAUAGCAAUAUUACUUUGGCUAGACCGGCGCACGGGUGCGUAACACGUAUGCAACCUACCUUAUACUGGGGAAUAACUUCGAGAAAUCGGCGCUAAUACCCCAUAACAUUGCGAAGAGGCAUCUCUUUGCAAUUAAAGCUCCGGCGGUAUAAGAUGGGCAUGCGUCCAAUUAGCUAGUUGGUGAGGUAACGGCUCACCAAGGCUACGAUUGGUAGGGGUUCUGAGAGGAUGAUCCCCCACACUGGUAGUGAGACACGGACCAGACUCCUACGGGAGGCAGCAGUGAGGAAUAUUGCGCAAUGGACGAAAGUCUGACGCAGCCAUGCCGCGUGCAGGAUGACGGCCCUAUGGGUUGUAAACUGCUUUUGUACGGGAAUAAACCCUUCUACGUGUAGGAGGCUGAAGGUACCGUAAGAAUAAGCACCGGCUAACUCCGUGCCAGCCGCCGCGGUAAAAC
rnacentral:rRNA from 1 species